AAGCCUGAUGCAGCGACGCCGCGUGAGGGAUGACGGCCUUCGGGUUGUAAACCUCUUUCAGCAGGGACGAAGCGCAAGUGACGGUACCUGCAGAAGAAGCACCGGCUAACUACGUGCCAGCAGCCGCGGUAAUACGUAGGGUGCGAGCGUUGUCCGGAAUUAUUGGGCGUAAAGAGCUCGUAGGCGGUUUGUCGCGUCGGCCGUGAAAACUUGGGGCUUAACCCCGAGCCUGCGGUCGAUACGGGCAGACUUGAGUUCGGCAGGGGAGACUGGAAUUCCUGGUGUAGCGGUGAAAUGCGCAGAUAUCAGGAGGAACACCGGUGGCGAAGGCGGGUCUCUGGGCCGAUACUGACGCUGAGGAGCGAAAGCGUGGGGAGCGAACAGGAUUAGAUACCCUGGUAGUCCACGCCGUAAACGGUGGGUGCUAGGUGUGGGGGACUUCCACGUCCUCCGUGCCGCAGCUAACGCAUUAAGCACCCCGCCUGGGGAGUACGGCCGCAAGGCUAAAACUCAAAUGAAUUGACGGGG
rnacentral:rRNA from 1 species